rnacentral:rRNA from 1 species
CGGGGUGCAGCAGGCGCGAAAACUUUACAAUGCGGGAAACCGUGAUAAGGGGACACCGAGUGCCAGCAUCAUAUGCUGGCUGUCCGGGUGUGUAAAAUACACCCGUUAGCAAGGGCCGGGCAAGACCGGUGCCAGCCGCCGCGGUAACACCGGCGGCCCGAGUGGUGAUCGUGAUUAUUGGGUCUAAAGGGUCCGUAGCCGGUUUGGUCAGUCCUCCGGGAAAUCUGACGGCUCAACCGUUAGGCUUUCGGGGGAUACUGCCAGGCUUGGAACCGGGAGAGGUAAGAGGUACUACAGGGGUAGGAGUGAAAUCUUGUAAUCCCUGUGAGACCACCUGUGGCGAAGGCGUCUUACCAGAACGGGUUCGACGGUGAGGGACGAAAGCUGGGGGCACGAACCGGAUUAGAUACCCGGGUAGUCCCAGCCGUAAACGAUGCUCGCUAGGUGUCAGGCAUGGCGCGACCGUGUCUGGUGCCGCAGGGAAGCCGUGAAGCGAGCCACCUGGGAAGUACGGCCGCAAGGCUGAAACUUAAAGGAAUUGGCGGGGGAGCACAAG